rnacentral:rRNA from 1 species
CGGUGGAUGCCCUGGCAGUCAGAGGCGAUGAAGGACGUGCUAAUCUGCGAUAAGCGUCGGUAAGGUGAUAUGAACCGUUAUAACCGGCGAUUUCCGAAUGGGGAAACCCAGUGUGAUUCGUCACACUAUCAUUAACUGAAUCCAUAGGUUAAUGAGGCGAACCGGGGGAACUGAAACAUCUAAGUACCCCGAGGAAAAGAAAUCAACCGAGAUUCCCCCAGUAGCGGCGAGCGAACGGGGAGCAGCCCAGAGCCUGAAUCAGUGUGUGUGUUAGUGGAAGCGUCUGGAAAGGCGUGCGAUACAGGGUGACAGCCCCGUACACAAAAAUGCACAUACUGUGAGCUCGAUGAGUAGGGCGGGACACGUGGUAUCCUGUCUGAAUAUGGGGGGACCAUCCUCCAAGGCUAAAUACUCCUGACUGACCGAUAGUGAACCAGUACCGUGAGGGAAAGGCGAAAAGAACCCCGGCGAGGGGAGUGAAAAAGAACCUGAAACCGU